UGCAGUAUGGCGUAAUGGUUUGAGUGUUGGACUACGACUCUGGAGGCCAGGGUUCAAUUCAUUGCUCAGCCA